AUGGAGAAGACCCUCCUGCCUCAGCCUCCCCCAGUGCCCCACCCCACCCGUGUUACGUUAACAGGGUGUUACGCCGUGGUUAUUGACUGUGACUUUCACAGCCUGAUCCGGUACCACUCUCGGCCUGGCACCACCUGUAUCUUAGGGUCCGUCUUCCGCCUUCCCAGCCACUCCCAGCGCCCCUGGGCCUGGCCUCCGCCUGUCUCUCCACGUCUCUUCCCUUCGCUCUCCGUCUCUGGGUCUCACGAGCAGGACCCGGGCUCUCCGGCCCCCAGCAGGGUAAGGAAGACCCGGCUUCGGGACACCGCCCGGAGUCUCGGGGUCUGCAGACAGAGGAGGAAGCCGGGUCUGGGUCUGCAGAAGAGGAGGAAGCCGGGUCUGAGCCUGCGAGUGUAGACAGAGGAGGAAGCACGUUCCGGGUACGGCCCGCGUGGACUGCCAAGGCCUCCGUGUCCUGACCCUGUCGUCCCGGGCUUCGGACCCCGGCAGGGUGGGUGGAGCGCAAGGUGGUCCCAGCCCCGGGCCCUCGACAGAAGCAGCCCGAUUCCGUCCGACC
rnacentral:lncRNA from 1 species